rnacentral:rRNA from 1 species
GACGAACGCUGGCGGCGCGCCUAACACAUGCAAGUCGAACGGAGCUUGCUUGUCAGAUCCUUUCGGGGUGACGAUUUGUAAGCUUAGUGGCGAACGGGUGAGUAACACGUGAGUAACCUGCCCCAGAGUGGGGGACAACAGUUGGAAACGACUGCUAAUACCGCAUAAGCCCACAGCUCGGCAUCGAGCAGAGGGAAAAGGAGUGAUCCGCUUUGAGAUGGCCUCGCGUCCGAUUAGCUAGUUGGUGAGGUAACGGCCCACCAAGGCGACGAUCGGUAGCCGGACUGAGAGGUUGAACGGCCACAUUGGGACUGAGACACGGCCCAG